UGUAACAUUUUGAUAGUAGGUAACAUUUUUUGUAACACUUUAAUGUUAUGUAACACUUUAUAGCAUAACUUUAAUAUUAGGUAUCACUUGAUUAUAACACGUAGUUGUAAAACUUAAUUUAAUAUAUAUAUAAAAAAAAGACCCUCACAAGUCACAACCUAUCUUCCUCCCUUGUAUUUCUCGGUUUCUCCAUCAACCUUUCUCUUUCUCUUGAAUUUGCAUCUCGACACCUCUUUUUCACCGCUACCCCCUUCUCGCUCCUGGUGCUGCACUAUAGCCCCCGUUCACCACAGCCUACCUCCAUCGCAACCUGUGCUCCAAACCGAAGAUGUAUAAAACACUCCGUGCUCCAGUGAUUGCCACCUCCAAAGAGGAAAAGAUAGAUAUUGGCACCUCUAGGCUUCCAUCAUCGGCGGCUUCUAUCUUAAAGUUUAGGUUCGGCUUCCAUCAUCGUUCCCUCUCCCUUUCCAUUAUUAACAAGAAUUUGAGUUAGCUAACCUUAGGGUUUCAAUUCCUUCUCUCAAAUCUUGUUGAUUCUUUCUUAAUUUGACGUUUAAUUUGCCAUUUAACAUGCUUAAUUUCACUAUUUUCAUACUCAAUUUUACAUGCAUCUGAAUUGGUCGAAGUAUUUUGAUGAAAUUGGGAUUUUUGUUUUUUCUUCUUUUCAGUUAUUGCUGAUUUGAUUUACCUUGUAAUUUACUCUUUGUUGACUAAUCUAACCAAUUCAAGGUUUAUAUUUUUCUUUUCUGAAUUUAAUCUUCUUAAGUUUGUCAAUGAUCCAAGUAAUUGUGGGCAGAAAUCAAAGGCAAUGCUAGUUAUAAUCGGAGGAAUGGUAUUUGAUAUUCAAUCUAAUGCAUGCCGCUAUUCCUGCUACUGUCAAAACCACCACUCUUAGUGAUGAAUGACACUUAAUGCAAGCAAAUCCAUAUUAGUUAGAUACAAGAGUACAACAGGCAAGACAGAGGCUGCAAAUAUAAUUAUGCAAUACCUUGACUAUUUGGUUAGUUCAUCGUGCUCUUACCUACAGUGGAUUGGUGAGCAACAAGUUUUGGAGGUAAGAGUUCAAUGUAGAUAAUUAAUUUGUCUUCAUGCCUUAAUUCUGUAUUCAACUCUCACAUUUGAAUUCAUAAAAAAGAGUUUUAUGAGGAAAGAAAAAAAGAGCAUUUAAUUUAACUAAAACAAAAAUGACUUUAUACUUAAAUUACCCCAAAUCCCCCCCCCCUCUACGAAUAUAGAGAGCAUCUCUUGUUUGUUAUAUAUUUGCUAUUGAAAAGUAAGUACUUCUAGAAAUUGUGAAUUUUAUAGCCUCUUUUGUAGUUCAAUGCUUGUCCUGGUGUAAGGGAUAUUUUACCUUAUAACUCCAAAUUGAUUGUAUAGUGGCUGCAUACAUAUCAUGAAUCAUUGUACUUGUUCUUUAUAUAGCUCUCGUUUUUCUUUCAAACCUAAACUGUCUUAUAUUUUUUGAGCUUUAUGAAUCAUGCAUUUCAUUCUAGACUUUUCCGUUAUCUCUUUGCCUUUUUUCUUUUGGUCAAGGUUUGGGCGGACUAUGGACUAGUGGGAAUGUUUGAUACGGUGAGUAAAAGAAAUUGAUUAUAUUUUUUGAAAAUAAUUUCUCAUUUUAUUUCUUUCCAUUUUUUCAGUUUUGAUGCUUAUAUCUUCUAAAAAAAAUUCCACUUUUGGCUUAUAUUAAUUCUGUAAAUUUGAUGCUGCAGUUUUGAUGCUUAUAUUUUCUGGAAAUAAUUUUCCCAUUUAUUAAUUCUUCCAAUUCCCACAGAUGAUGAGGAUCACCUAGUUUGUUAUUUGUAGCCUGACAACCUGAUAUUAGGUACAGGUCGGAUGCCAGGGCUAUUUCCGACAUUAAUCAUGGCUCUUAUGAUGCCAUAUUGCCAUGAGAACUUCCUAAAUGCAUGUGACUUGUUGAAAGUAUAUAUAAAGUCUACUCUUAUACUCUUAGUUCUAACUUUCAUUGUAUAAUUUUUUAC